rnacentral:rRNA from 1 species
UACGUAGGGUGCGAGCGUUGUCCGGAAUUACUGGGCGUAAAGAGCUCGUAGGUGGUUUGUCGCGUUGUUCGUGAAAACUCACAACUCAAUUGUGGGCGUGCGGGCGAUACGGGCAGACUGGAGUACUGCAGGGGAGACUGGAAUUCCUGGUGUAGCGGUGGAAUGCGCAGAUAUCAGGAGGAACACCGGUAGCGAAGGCGGGUCUCUGGGCAGUAACUGACGCUGAGGAGCGAAAGCGUGGGGAGCGAACAGG